CUUCCUUACAUUCUAUUAUUGCAAUUUGCAACCCCCCUCAUCAUACCUUUCUUCACACCACACCAAAAUUAACGCUGUGCAGCAAUUCAAUCAAUAUAAUGCUCAACACACACAUGAAUAUUUAACAAAGUUCAUGUAGAUGCUGGUAUUAUAUUAUACGGAGAUCAACGAAGAAAAUACUACAUACAUGGAAAAUGAUCUCGUUUUUCUUUUCAUUAAAAGUGUUGAGACUUGAGAGCAAUGGGGCGAUUGGGCGGUGCCCGUCUGGUAGCGCUUGAUGAAUUGACAAAAUUACCCUCUUCAUGCGCUCUGAUUGGCUAAGAACACGCGAGCGGUUCUCUCUUGACUCUUCACUUCUUCUUCCUCCUCCAGCGUAGCUCCACCUCUCGCUCGUUUUUCACCAGAUCGUGGUGAUGUUUAUGCUCAACUUUUCUCAUCGCCGCGAUCUCUACUGAUUUGAUCUCUCGCUCGCUCUUCCUCGUUUUUCAGAUUUUAAUUUUCGCUCCUUGAAGGUUGGCUGGCUGUAUGAUCACAACAAUGGUGAGGAUCUUACCUUCACAUGUCAGUGGUUUCGUCUAUUAAUGGGUUUUAGAUAUAUUAUAUUUCAUAUAUACAAUUGCAUUUGGCGGAAGCAUCAUUAAAGCUUAAGGGUAUGAUCGGGAAGGAGUGCCUUAGAGAGAUUUGGGAUAGCCCCUAUCGUAGAUAAGAUGGUGGAAUAUCAUCUUAGGUAGUUCAGACACAUGUAGCAAGAAGACUUGUAGAGGCCUGGUAAGGAAAUCAGAUCAAAUGUAUAUUCAUGGAGUCUUGGAGAAUAGGUCUUUGUUUAACCAUAAGACUAUAUGAAGUGGAAGUCUCGUGCACUUGGCUGCCAUCUUUCAGUUUGGGAUUAAAAGUAAAUAUGCUUCCAAAUGUUGGGUAGAUUGCCUGUGUCUCUGGCUAUGUAAAUUUGUGGUCCAGGGUCAAGAUGUAGUUUUCUAUCAAUGCAACUAAAUCCAUUUAGAGUAUUUAGAGUGAUAGGCUUCUCUAAUGAAGCUUGUUAGUGUUGGGCAAGAGAAUCUGUUCAUGCAUAGCCUAGCAUAGUUUCUUGACCGUUGGCAAAGUCUUUGUGGAGUUGACAAUGAUUGGGCAGCAAGACUUUCUAGGUACACUGAACUGUUCAAUCAUGCUCACACUCCAAAUUAUGUGAUGCAUCUGUAGACUUGCACAAUUCUUUUGCAUUUCGUAUGUCCUUAUAAUUUUUGUUGGAUAAAUUUCACUAUUUGAGGAAAUCAUUACGUUUGAUGGCGAGGCACA